rnacentral:lncRNA from 1 species
UAAUGUCAUCACCAUUACAUGAUUUGAAAAGAUUUGUUUCACCUUAAAUCUGUUGGGGUUUCAAUGGCUUUUGAGGAAGUUGCCCCUAUGCUCCAAACCCAAAUUACUGUUUAAUAGGCAUUUUUUCUUUACCCUAGUUUGUUCCUUGAUUGUAAAAUCUGGUAUUUUUGCAAAUUUGGCUCAGGGGUACCUGAAAACCCACAGCCAGGAGACAAUUUAUUGACUUUGCCCACAAAGAAUCUUAUGGAAGAAAAUUUUUGUAAUAGGGAUUUCUGUCAGAGCAAAAUCUCUCUCUCCUAAGUAUUUGCUCCUAACCACGACCUAACCUUGCAGUCAUAUAUAGCCUUAAAUUAAUCCUGCAAUUUUUUCACCAUGAAAUUACCCGAUAGCUUAAAACGGCAACACAUGAACAGAUUAACUGAGUAACCAGAAAAGUUUAGCAUGAAUCUGGACAUUAGAUUUAAGCUUGAAGUUUUAAGCUUAUCAGAUAUCACUUGGUAGAAGCUCCUUACCGUUUGAAGAAAUCUCUUCUCAAUCUGCUGUCCUCUUUUGCUCUUUUCCCAUCUAAGACUGACGUUAUUCCAUGUUAAUUAGUUUUUCUCCGUGAAAAACACAGCAACUCAUCUUAUCCCUGGGCGCCAGGGACUCGAGCUCCGGAUCUCAGCAGAAAAGUGCCAAUAAAGGUUGCAGAUGCAUCCAGGUAUCAGUUUGACACAGUUCUGCCCUCUCUGUCCUCUGUGACGUCACAGCUGGAGCGUUAAGGCCACUGCGUAACCAUGGUUACAGGGGGACGCUUUGGAGCUCUGGAGAUUUCAGGUUAAUAUAUAAAUACUCCAACUUUAAAGACAAGCAAAAGAAAUAUACUGUAUAUGUGUAUAGUGUAAGCGUUCAUUUUCUGGAAGAGGCUGUAAGUUAAAGAGUUAUAAGGUGACCCAUAGCAGCCAUACUGAGGCCUCCUCCUGCUUCACUGGCAUAUAUCCAUCACCAGAGGGCUCCACUGACCUGCCUGCUGACAUCAGAGCAAACCCCUGUGUCAUGUGACCUGGCUGGAGUUGCAAAGCUGGACUCAGACCUAGCCCAGGCAAGUUCAAAGCCAGCUGUGGUAGAGAGAGCAAUGAGUAUAGUAAAGCACCGGAAGGAUGAGGUGGAAACAGGAAGCGUGUAGAUUCAGUGGACUUGGCAUCCUUC